ACUUCCUCUCCACGCCUCUCUCACCUCUUUUCUUUCUUCGUUUGCAAGCCAGAACCAACAGAGGAGAAACCCCAUCCCCGGCCCCGUGAGCUCCUCCAUGGCGCCGCCGCUCCACUGCGUCCCCCACCGUGCUGAGGGCACCAUCGGGUGCGCCUCGACGUUCUCCAUCUCCCAGUACCUCGAAUCGCCCCGGGGGCUUCCCAAUCGCCACCAAAUUCGCCAUUCCCUCGCUCCGGCCGCCGCAGUUCGUGGACGAUUCCGGCGCCGUUCGUCCGUCUCCGGCCACACCGAGGUCACCACCGAUUUCCUGGUCCUCUUCGACGGCGGUCUUCCGGCGACCUCCAUCAAGCGGCGCCGCCUCCACUUCGACCGCGCCGACGAGGCGAGCACGACGCCCAACUCCGCGCUUCCUGGUGGCGCCUGCAACGUCGGCGCGCGCGACGCCUCGCCGCGGUGACCACCUUCCUGGAGAACGCGCGCGGCAUCCCCCUUGCAAGCAAGGUUCGCCAGCGUGGCAGCCACGUCAGCAUCCGCCGGCCCCAUCUGUCAUCCACAUGGGCUAGCUGCCCCUCCGCAUUUGCUUCUUCCCGGAUAGGAUCGCGAAGUGGUGUUGUGAGAUACGACGAGUUCUCCGACAAGUUCUUCUGCAGCUUUUCACAGGCGAGCCCACCCCUUCACCUAUUUUACUUUUACAUGCUCUUUUGAUCUAUUGCUAUCCUUGUGUUGCGAUUCUGUUGUGUCACGUGUCCUAUCCACCUGUUACCUAUAUGUCCGAGAUACACCUCCUCGCCCUACCUAUUGUUUGUUGUUUGCCAGCUUGCGAGUCGUAGGCGAGUUUAGGGUCUUGUUGAUAUCUCGAGAUGUUCGGGAUAUCUUGUUGGGAGGUUAUCACAUGCUAUAUCUUUUGUUGGAGAUAAUCACACUUUAUUUUAUUGUUAACAACUAAAAUUGUAAGCAGAGGCAUCUGUGAGCCCCUUUGCGAAAGCAUCGGAACUUUGACUCGCUAAUGUCCCCUAGGACCCGAGUUCUUGUUAUCUGUUCCGAGAUUGAGCGCUCUACCCGUACGUGGGGGAGUGGGACCCCCAUCACCCACUACCUUUCCUCGAGUCUGUUUAUUGGGAGCCACAACCUUGGUUUUAUUUGCUCAUAUGCACGAUGCACGAUUUACUUCUUGUUGCCUUCGGGUGUUUAUUUCUGUACUGUACUCAUCUCGUGGAACGAUUAGCGACAGCAGGUUGUUCACACUUAGCUUAGCCGUUGGCACAAACCUCUGGGUCCGUAUCGGAGUACGGCCGAACUUCGUCACGGGUAGCUUAGUGGGGUGGCUCCCCUUAAACUUUCUCUUGCAUUGGGAACGGUCUUGAUGUGAGACUCCACCUGUAGUAAGUGGGUUCGAGCAUGCGUAUGGUUACAUUUGGGCAACCCCUGCAGGGUGUACAUCUUAUCGAUAAGCCGUGUCCGGGGUUAUGGACGACUUGGAAUUGUAUGACUUGAUCAUAGAACAACUUGCACCUUAUACUUGUUGUUAAUAAUCUGAUAAUAACUUGAUUAGUAAUAUAGCAUUACUACAACCGAUACCUAAUACUUGUCCACCGUUGAGUGCCUUUUACAUUGCCUCUUCGCAAUUGUUGAAGGGGAUAUGUGUAUUUGGCUGGGUUAUGUUUGUGUAGUAUUUAUUUGUUACCUUGUGCGCUCUCUUAUCUUCUCUGAGUAGACGGAUGUUGUAGCGUGUCUCUAUUGGAUAGUAGCUUUGCUGCCGCUAAACUCCACAUAUAGCCGGGUGAAGUUUAUACCGCCCACCAGCGAGCAUAGCUGGUCUUGUCUCGCAAGUACGUGCCAAUGGUACUUACCCUCGCCUUCCUUUCUUUUUGUCUCCUCCCCCCCUUUUGUCGGCAACCGAUGGCCCGACUUUGACAGGUACGAGAUGACGACGUUAGCAAGGUUACCCUUCCGGCUUGGCCUGGGCAGGGUUAUGGACGCCGCUGGUUAUCUUCAGGACUCUUAGUCCAAUUUGUAUCUUGUCCGUACUCGGACGUAUUUGAUCUUCUGUAUGAUUUGGAUCUUUGUAUGUAUCUAUUUGUAUCUUGACUCGUUGGAGUCGUUGUUGUAAUAUAUGUAUCUUGUGGGCUCUAUUGUAAUCCUGUUGUAAUGUUA